GAGAUAUAGAUGUAUCGGCUA
rnacentral:miRNA from 1 species